CCGGAUAAUCGGGAGAAAUUCCGUCUAAUACGGCAUAAUGCAUCGACGGGACAUCCUGUUGGUGCCAAAGGUUAAUUCCGGUGGCGGAUGGGCAUGCGUCGCAUUAGUUAGUUGGCGGUGUAACGGACCACCAAGACGACGAUGCGUAGGGGUUCUGAGAGGAAGGUCCCCCACACUGGUACUGGGACACGGACCAGACUCCUACGGGAGGCAGCAGUGAGGAAUAUUGGUCAAUGGGCGGGAGCCUGAACCAGCCAAGUCGCGUGAGGGAUGACGGCCCUAUGGGUUGUAAACCUCCUUUGCCGGGGAGCAAAGUGCCGCACGUGUGCGGUUUGGAGAGUACCCGGAGAAAAAGCAUCGGCUAACUCCGUGCCAGCAGCCGCGGUAAUACGGAGGAUGCGAGCGUUAUCCGGAUUUAUUGGGUUUAAAGGGUGCGUAGGCGGACGCUUAAGUCAGCGGUAAAAUUGCGGGGCUCAACCUCGUCGAGCCGUUGAAACUGGGUGCCUUGAGUGGGCGAGAAGUACGCGGAAUGCGUGGUGUAGCGGUGAAAUGCAUAGAUAUCACGCAGAACUCCGAUUGCGAAGGCAGCGUACCGGCGCCCAACUGACGCUGAAGCACGAAGGCGUGGGUAUCGAACAGGAUUAGAUACCCUGGUAGUCCACGCAGUAAACG
rnacentral:rRNA from 1 species